rnacentral:rRNA from 1 species
GCACAAGCGGUGGAGUAUGUGGUUUAAUUCGACGCAACGCGCAGAACCUUACUGGUCUUGACAUCCCGAGAAUUUUCUGGAAACAGAGAAGUGCCUCGCAAGAGGAAUUCGGAGACAGGUGCUGCAUGGCUGUCGUCAGCUCGUGUCGUGAGAUGUUGGGUUAAGUCCCGCAACGAGCGCAACCCUUGUCUUUAGUUGCCAUCAUUAAGUUGGGCACUCUAAAGAGACUGCCGGUGUCAAACCGGAGGAAGUGGGGAUGACGUCAAGUCCUCAUGGCCUUUAUGACCAGGGCUACACACGUACUACAAUGGCAGGUACAAAGGGCAGCCACUUAGCGAUAAGGCGCGAAUCCCGUAAAACCUGUCUCAGUCCGGAUUGGAGUCUGCAACUCGACUCCAUGAAGUUGGAAUCGCUAGUAAUCGCAGAUCAGCACGCUGCGGUGAAUACGUUCCCGGGCCUU